CUGAAACCGUGUACGUACAAGCAGUGGGAGCACGCUUAGGCGUGUGACUGCGUACCUUUUGUAUAAUGGGUCAGCGACUUAUAUUCUGUAGCAAGGUUAACCGAAUAGGGGAGCCGAAGGGAAACCGAGUCUUAACUGGGCGUUAAGUUGCAGGGUAUAGACCCGAAACCCGGUGAUCUAGCCAUGGGCAGGUUGAAGGUUGGGUAACACUAACUGGAGGACCGAACCGACUAAUGUUGAAAAAUUAGCGGAUGACUUGUGGCUGGGGGUGAAAGGCCAAUCAAACCGGGAGAUAGCUGGUUCUCCCCGAAAGCUAUUUAGGUAGCGCCUCGUGAAUUCAUCUCCGGGGGUAGAGCACUGUUUCGGCAAGGGGGUCAUCCCGACUUACCAACCCGAUGCAAACUGCGAAUACCGGAGAAUGUUAUCACGGGAGACACACGGCGGGUGCUAACGUCCGUCGUGAAGAGGGAAACAACCCAGACCGCCAGCUAAGGUCCCAAAGUCAUGGUUAAGUGGGAAACGAUGUGGGAAGGCCCAGACAGCCAGGAUGUUGGCUUAGAAGCAGCCAUCAUUUAAAGAAAGCGUAAUAGCUCACUGGUCGAGUCGGCCUGCGCGGAAGAUGUAACGGGGCUAAACCAUGCACCGAAGCUGCGGCAGCGACGCUUAUGCGUUGUUGGGUAGGGGAGCGUUCUGUAAGCCUGUGAAGGUGUGCUGUGAGGCAUGCUGGAGGUAUCAGAAGUGCGAAUGCUGACAUAAGUAACGAUAAAGCGGGUGAAAAGCCCGCUCGCCGGAAGACCAAGGGUUCCUGUCCAACGUUAAUCGGGGCAGGGUGAGUCGACCCCUAAGGCGAGGCCGAAAGGCGUAGUCGAUGGGAAACAGGUUAAUAUUCCUGUACUUGGUGUUACUGCGAAGGGGGGACGGAGAAGGCUAUGUUGGCCGGGCGACGGUUGUCCCGGUUUAAGCGUGUAGGCUGGUUUUCCAGGCAAAUCCGGAAAAUCAAGGCUGAGGCGUGAUGACGAGGCACUACGGUGCUGAAGCAACAAAUGCCCUGCUUCCAGGAAAAGCCUCUAAGCAUCAGGUAACAUCAAAUCGUACCCCAAACCGACACAGGUGGUCAGGUAGAGAAUACCAAGGCGCUUGAGAGAACUCGGGUGAAGGAACUAGGCAAAAUGGUGCCGUAACUUCGGGAGAAGGCACGCUGAUAUGUAGGUGAAGUCCCUUGCGGAUGGAGCUGAAAUCAGUCGAAGAUACCAGCUGGCUGCAACUGUUUAUUAAAAACACAGCACUGUGCAAACACGAAAGUGGACGUAUACGGUGUGACGCCUGCCCGGUGCCGGAAGGUUAAUUGAUGGGGUCAGCGCAAGCGAAGCUCUUGAUCGAAGCCCCGGUAAACGGCGGCCGUAACUAUAACGGUCCUAAGGUAGCGAAAUUCCUUGUCGGGUAAGUUCCGACCUGCACGAAUGGCGUAAUGAUGGCCAGGCUGUCUCCACCCGAGACUCAGUGAAAUUGAACUCGCUGUGAAGAUGCAGUGUACCCGCGGCAAGACGGAAAGACCCCGUGAACCUUUACUAUAGCUUGACACUGAACAUUGAGCCUUGAUGUGUAGGAUAGGUGGGAGGCUUUGAAGUGUGGACGCCAGUCUGCAUGGAGCCGACCUUGAAAUACCACCCUU
rnacentral:rRNA from 1 species